rnacentral:ncRNA from 1 species
AUCUUCAGGGCAGGGUGAAAUUCCCGAUCGGCGGUACAGUCCGCGAGCGUGCGUUGCGCGCAGGAUUUGGUGAAAUUCCAAAACCGACAGUAUAGUCUGGAUGGAAGAAGGUU